UCCCGAAAGUUAGCGAAGUCAGUAGAGCUUGUGUCUCUUAAUCUCAGGAUUGUGGGUUCGAGCCCCACGCCGGGCA